rnacentral:rRNA from 1 species
UACGUAGGGGGCAAGCGUUGUUCGGAAUCACUGGGCGUAAAGGGAGCGUAGGCGGGGAGUUAAGUUACGAGUUUAAUUUCCGGGCUCAACCCGGACGUGGCUCGUAAUACUGGCUUUCUUGAGUACGGGAGAGGGAGAUAGAAUUCCAGGUGUAGCGGUGGAAUGCGUAGAUAUCUGGAAGAAUACCAGUAGCGAAGGCGGUCUCCUGGCCCGAAACUGACGCUGAGGCUCGAAAGCUAGGGGAGCAAAC